CCUACGGGAGGCAGCAGUGAGGAAUAUUGGUCAAUGGUCGGGAGACUGAACCAGCCAAGCCGCGUGAGGGAUGAAGGUACAGAGUAUCGUAAACCUCUUUUGUCAGGGAACAAAGGCGGGGACGUGUCCCCGGAUGAGUGUACCUGAAGAAAAAGCAUCGGCUAACUCCGUGCCAGCAGCCGCGGUAAUACGGAGGAUGCGGGUGUUAUCCGGAUUUAUGGGGUUUAAGGGGUGCGCAGGCGGUCUGUUAAGUCAGCGGUCAAAGCCCGGGGCACAACCCCGCCCCGCCGUUGAAACUGGCAGUCUCGAGUUGGAGAGAAGUAUGCGGAAUGCGCGGUGUAGCGGUGAAAUGCAUAGAUAUCGCGCAGAACUCCGAUUGCGAAGGCAGCAUGCCGGCUCCACACUGACGCUGAGGCACGAAAGCGUGGGUAUCGAACAGGAUUAGAUACCCGUGUAGUC
rnacentral:rRNA from 1 species